rnacentral:rRNA from 1 species
UUGGCGAGGUAAUGGCUCACCAAGGCUUUGAUCGGUAGCCGGACUGAGAGGUUGACCGGCCACACUGGAACUGAGACACGGUCCAGACUCCUACGGGAGGCAGCAGUGGGGAAUAUUGCGCAAUGGGCGAAAGCCUGACGCAGCGACGCCGCGUGGGGGAUGAAGGCCUUCGGGUUGUAAACCCCUUUCGGCAGGGACGAAGCGAAAGUGACGGUACCUGCAGAAGAAGCGCCGGCUAACUACGUGCCAGCAGCCGCGGUAACACGUAGGGCGCAAGCGUUGUCCGGAAUCAUUGGGCGUAAAGAGCUCGUAGGCGGUCUGUUGCGUCCGCUGUGAAAACUCGGGGCUUAACCCCGAGCUUGCAGUGGAUACGGGCAGACUAGAGGUAGGUAGGGGGGAAUGGGAAUUCCCGGGUGUAGCGGUGAAAUGCGCAGAUAUCGGGAGGAACACCGGUGGCGAAAGGCGGUUCUCUGGGCCUUACCUGACGCUGAGGAG